rnacentral:tRNA from 1 species
GGUAGGAUGGCUGAAGAAAGCAUUAGACUGUAAAUCUAAACAUAAAGGUAAUAGUCCUUUUUCUACCA